AACGCACCUUGCGCUCCCUGGCAUUCCGGGGAGCAUGUCUGUUUGAGUGUCAUGAACUCUUCAACCCAUCAGUUUCUUGUAAACUGGCUGGUGUUUGGAUUUUGAGCGUUGCUGGAUCUUCGGAUCGAAGCUCGUUCGUAAUACAUUAGCAUCUCUAAUUCGAACUCGGAUUGACUCAGUGUAAUAGACUAUUCGCUGAGGACACGUGCUUGCAUGUGGCCGAAUGAGAUCUCAGUAGAGGCUUCCAACCCUUCUAGUCAACUUUAGAUUAGACCUCAAAUCAGGCAGGAUUACCCGCUGAACUUAA
rnacentral:misc_RNA from 1 species